CUUGAGUAUGGAGAUGCUCUCAGACUCCCAGCUGGAACAACUUCUUAUAUCCUUAACCCAGAUGACAACCAGAACCUUAGAGUAGUCAAGCUCGCAAUACCUAUCAACAACCCUAGCAAUUUUUAUGUAAUGUUCUUUCUGAUAUCCUAUCAUAUUAUCUUUUAUUAUUAUAUCAUCUCACUUUCUAUGGCACCCAUUUCAUAUUUUACACCAUUAAAUUUUAAUUUCUUCCUCCUUUCUCUCUAUCUUUGUAUAUGUACAGGAUUUCUAUCCAUCAAGUACUAAAGACCAACAAUCUUACUUCAGCGGCUUCAGCAAGAACACUUUAGAGGCCACCUUCAAUGUAUCAUAUCUUAUCUAUAUUGGUUGCUCAGUUACUUAUUGAGUAUAUAUAAUAAUGAUUACAUGUUUGUUUGUUAUGAUUUCAAAUAUAGACCCGUUAUGAAGAGAUACAAAGGAUUCUGUUAGGAAAUGAGGACGAGCAGGAAGAUGAGGAACAAAGGCGUGGACAAGAGCAGAGCUACCAAGAUGAAGGGGUGAUAGUGAGAGUAUCAAAGGAACAGAUCCAAGAAUUGAGAAAACAUGCUCAAUCUUCAUCA
rnacentral:lncRNA from 1 species